rnacentral:rRNA from 1 species
GACGAACGCUGGCGGCGUGCCUAAUACAUGCAAGUAGAACGCUGAAGAGAGGAGCUUGCUCUUCUUGGAUGAGUUGCGAACGGGUGAGUAACGCGUAGGUAACCUGCCUUGUAGCGGGGGAUAACUAUUGGAAACGAUAGCUAAUACCGCAUAACAAUGUAUGACACAUGUCAUUUAUUUGAAAGGGGCAAUUGCUCCACUACAAGAUGGACCUGCGUUGUAUUAGCUAGUAGGUGAGGUAAUGGCUCACCUAGGCGACGAUACAUAGCCGACCUGAGAGGGUGAUCGGCCACACUGGGACUGAGACACGGCCCAGACUCCUACGGGAGGCAGCAGUAGGGAAUCGUCGGCAAUGGGGGCAACCCUGACCGAGCAACGCCGCGUGAGUGAAGAAGGUUUUCGGAUCGUAAAGCUCGGUUGUAAGUCAAGAACGGGUGUGAGAGUGGAAAGUUCACACUGUGACGGUAGCUUACCAGAAAGGGACGGCUAACUACGUG